rnacentral:tRNA from 1 species
GUUGAGAUGGCCGAGUUGGUCAAAGGUGCCAUUUUCAGGUUUUGGUCCGAAAGGGUGUGGGUUCAAAUCCCACUAUCAACA